AUUGGUAUAGCGCCAUUAUGCUUGAUCUAAAAGCAGGCGGGAACCCCAUCUUCGUAAGAGUAACAUAUACCUCCAAUGUAGCCGAUCAAAGGCCUUUUCGGCGUUUAGUGCGAGUAGUAGAUCUGCUUGGUGUGAUUUGUUGGCCCAUUCUACCAAAUUUAGGAAGUGCCUGGUAUUGUCUCCCACCUGUCUUCCCUGUACAAAGCCUGCUUGUUCCUCUGAAACAAGAUCUGGAAUGAUAGGUUUGAGUCUAGACGCUACAGGUUUAGCAUAGAGUUUGGUAUCUGCGUUUAAUAGGGAGAUUGGGCGUAGGUUUGGGUGGGGGAUUUGUUAAGUUUUGGUAGUGUCACGAGAUGCGCC